rnacentral:rRNA from 1 species
ACGAACCGUCCAAACGUUAUUCGGAAUUACUGGGCUUAAAGGGUUCGUAGGCGGCCUUGUAAGUGAGAUGUGAAAUCCCACGGCUCAACCGUGGAAGUGCAUUUCAUACUGCAAGGCUUGAGGGAGACAGAGGUAAGCGGAACUGAUGGUGGAGCGGUGAAAUGCGUUGAUAUCGGGAGGAACAUCUGUGGCGAAGGCGACUACCUGGACCAGCACUGACACUGAGGCACGAAAGCGUGGGGAGCAAACAGGA